rnacentral:rRNA from 1 species
UACGAGGGGGGCAAAUGUUGUUCGGAAUCACUGGGCGUAAAGGGAUCGUAGGCGGGCUCUUAAGUUAGGUGUUUAAUCCCGGGGCCCAACCCCGGUCGUGCACUUAAAACUGGGAGUCUUGAAUAGUGGAGAGGUCAGUGGAAUUGGGGGUGUAGCGGUGGAAUGCGUAGAGAUCCCCAAGAACACCAGUUGCGAAGGCGGCUGACUGGACACAUAUUGACGCUGAGGCUCGAAAGCAUGGGGAGCAAACAGG